rnacentral:rRNA from 2 species
AUUGCUGCGGUUAAAAAGCUCGUAGUUGGAUCUGCGUCUCAGGACCUGGUCCAUUCAUUGGAUGAGAACUGGGCUCCUAGGCUAAUAUUGCCAGUUUUCCUUACGUUACCUUAAUUGGUUGCGUAUGGUGGCUAGCAAGUUUACCUUGAAAAAAUUAGAGUGCUCAAUGCGGGCUAAUGCCUGAAUACUCGUGCAUGGAAUAAUGAAAUAGGAUCUCGGUUCUAUUUUGUUGGUUUUCUGAUCUGAGAUAAUGGUUAAGAGGGACGGACGGGGGCAUUCGUAUCGCUGCGUGAGAGGUGAAAUUCUUGGACCGUAGCGAGACGUACGACUGCGAAAGCAUUUGCCAAGAAUGUCUUCAUUAAUCAAGAACGAAAGUCAGAGGUUCGAAGGCGAUCAGAUACCGCCCUAGUUCUGACCGUAAACGAUACCAACUAGCGUUCCGUCGGCGGUAAAUACGCCUUGACGGGCAGCUUCCCGGAAACGAAAGUUUUUCGGUUCCGGGGGAAGUAUGGUUGCAAAGCUGAAACUUAAAGAAAUUGACGGAAGGGCACCACCAGGAGUGGAGCCUGCGGCUUAAUUUGACUCAACACGGGAAAACUCACCUGGCCCGGACACCGUGAGGAUUGACAGAUUGAGAGCUCUUUCAUGAUUCGGUGGUUGGUGGUGCAUGGCCGUUCUUAGUUGGUGGAGUGAUUUGUCUGGUUUAUUCCGAUAACGAGCGAGACUCUAGCCUACUAAA